rnacentral:rRNA from 1 species
AACGCGAAGAACCUUACCUGGGCUCGAACGGCUUUGGAUCGACGGUGGAAACACUGUUUUCCCGCAAGGGACCGGAGUCGAGGUGCUGCAUGGCUGUCGUCAGCUCGUGUCGUGAGAUGUUGGGUUAAGUCCCGCAACGAGCGCAACCCUUGUCCUGUGUUGCCACUCCCGUAAGGGAAGCACUCUCAGGAGACCGCCAGCGAUAAGUUGGAGGAAGGUGGGGAUGAUGUCAAGUCAUCAUGGCCUUUAUGUCCAGGGCUACACACGUGCUACAAUGGUCGGUACAAAGCGCUGCAAACCCGCGAGGGGGAGCUAAUCGCAAAAAGCCGGCCUCAGUUCGGAUUGCAGGCUGCAACUCGCCUGCAUGAAGCUGGAAUCGCUAGUAAUGCCGUAUCAGAAUGAUGGCGUGAAUACGUUCCCGGGCCUUGUA